ACAUUUAAAAAGCUGAAUUCAAUCUAUGUAUUGGAACGGGGGAUUAUUUUGGGGUGAAUCACGCGCUUUUUCGCGUGUAGGGCUUACACCUUCGGCCCGAAUCCGUCAACUAACCUCGUAAGCUUAUGAAAGGUGGACAA
rnacentral:sRNA from 2 species